UGAGGAAUAUUGGGCAAUGCCCGCAAGGGUGACCCAGCAACGCCGCGUGGAGGAUGAAUUUCGUAAGAUUGUAAACUCCUGUUAGAGGGGAAGAAUAGUACCGGUUGGACCGGUAUAUGACUGUACCCUCAGAGAAAGCCCCGGCUAACUACGUGCCAGCAGCCGCGGUAAUACGUAGGGGGCAAGCGUUGUCCGGAUUUACUGGGUGUAAAGGGCGCGCAGGCGGGAUAAAAAGUCAGUGGUGAAAUCCUACAGCUUAACUGUAGAACUGCCUUUGAUACUUUUAUUCUUGAGUUCGGGAGAGAGAGACGGAAUUCCAGGUGUAGUGGUGAAAUACGUAGAUAUCUGGAAGAACACCAGUUGCGAAGGCGGUCUCUUGGUCCGACACUGACGCUGAGGAGCGAAAGCGUGGGGAGCAAACA
rnacentral:rRNA from 1 species